CUUUUUUUAAAGAAUGUAGUGAAGUAAAAUUAUAAAGUGGUAAAAAGUAAACUUACCCAAAGAAACUACGUAAGUAGUACUUUCAUGUAUUUACACUUAAGUACUUUACGUCACUGAUAUCAACAACAAAUUCACCAUACAUUUAUUUUGAAAGGUGAAUACAGAAUUUUCAUACCAGCCUUUAUCACUUCCCUACAGGAAAGAAAGCCUGCACUUUUCACCAGGAUGCCAUCUUUGAGCAGACCCAAAGAAUGUCAGGAGAGGAGUCGGGAGAGGAGUCGGGAGAGGAGUCAGCAAGUAUUACGUUUGUGACAAAUAGCUAAGUGCCUUUUAGGCACUAGGAUAGCUCCAAACAGAGAGACAGCUUCCGCACCCAGGUAACACACACAAUCCAUACUAACUGACCAAUUACUUUUACAUGCUCUGAGUUAAAAUGACUGGGUGGGAGGUUCAUUCAAAUGCACUGGAUUUUGUAUUUUAUGAGGAUCCCCAUUAGUUGUUGCUAAGGCAGCAGCUACUCUUCCUGGGGUCUACGCAAAACAUAAAACGUGACAUAAUACAGAACAUUAAACAGCUCAAGGACAGAACUACAUACAUUUAAGAACUGAGUGUUAUUACCAGUAUGUGUGAUUGGCUGGAUUAUUAUAACUCAUGGGACUCAAUCACCCACUACCACGCAGGAAGAAGGAGAGCGGUGACUCGGACUCAGAGCUCAUCGGCCCCCCCAGUGCCCCAACAUCUGACUGGUCAGGAGGAGGAUGCUAACUUGGUGGCCCACCACUACCACCAGGGUACAGAGAAAGCAAAGCAGACGAUGAUGAGGAUAUGCAGAUGACGAAGAUGUUAAUCCAGUGAAAAAGAUUCCAGACAAUUAUGAGAUCACUCUGCAGCAUGGCUCCAAAACAGCUUCUUCUUUUGACUUUAUAUGGUGGUUGGCAACCAACUUUAAGGU